rnacentral:rRNA from 1 species
CUAAGAAUAUUCCGCAAUGGACGAAAGUCUGACGGAGCGACGCCGCGUGGAUGAUGAAGGCCGGAAGGUUGUAAAAUCCUUUUAUGACUGAGGAAUAAGUGAAGUGAGGGAAACGCUUCAUGGUGACUGUAGGUCAUGAAUAAGCAACGGCUAAUUACGUGCCAGCAGCCGCGGUAACACGUAAGUUGCGAGCGUUGUUCGGAAUUAUUGGGCGUAAAGGGUAUGUAGGCGGUCUGUCAAGCCAGGCGUGAAAGCCAGGGGCUCAACCCCUGAACUGCGCUUGGAACUGGCGGACUGGAGUCGCUGAGGGGGAA